rnacentral:rRNA from 1 species
UACGUAGGGGGCAAGCGUUGUCCGGAAUCAUUGGGCGUAAAGCGCGUGUAGGCGGCCAGAAAAGUCCGCUGUGAAAACUCGAGGCUCAACUUCGAGCUGUCGGUGGAAACUUUCUGGCUAGAGUCCGGAAGAGGAGAAUGGAAUUCCUGGUGUAGCGGUGAAAUGCGCAGAUAUCAGGAAGAACACCCGUGGCGAAGGCGGUUCUCUGGGACGGUACUGACGCUGAGACGCGACAGCGUGGGGAGCAAACAGG